CGGGGUCGCGGUGCUGCUGGGGCGGGCCGGGCGUGUCCUGAGGGGGCAUCGGGGGCCGUGGGACGUCUGGGGGGUCUCGGGGAAAUCGCAGCGUUCUUGGAAGAGGCGUCGGGGGGAUUCUGGGGGUCUCAAUGAGGGGAAAUGGGGGAACUGGACCGGUGGGGUUGAGGGUGGUUGAUUUGGGGUUCCCAGUCCCUUUGGGGGUCUGUCCCCGACCCCGGGGGGCUGUCGCGGUGAUGACGCCAAAGACUAGAGUCUCCGACCCCCCUGAGGACGCCACAGGCCUGAGCGACGCCCCCGAACCCUCCCGGGACCCCCCCGGGCCCUGAGUCCCCCUGGGGUCACCCCGAACCUCGGGGUCCGCGCUGGUCUCACCCCCGUUCCUCCCCCGCGUGUCGCAGGUGGCGGCGGGACCGCGCUGUGCCCGGUAAAUCCCCGCUAAGUCCCCGCCCCGGACGAGGCCUCGGCACCGACUGCGCCGCCGGACAGGGGGAAGGGAGGGCUCGGAUUUGGGCGAAAUAAAGACGAUUUUGGGGCUGAAA